AUUGAACGCUGGCGGCAGGCCUAACACACGCAAGUCGAACGGUAACAGGAAGCAGCUUGCUGCUUCGCUGACGAGUGGCGGACGGGUGAGUAAUGUCUGGGAAACUGCCUGAUGGAGGGGGAUAACUACUGGAAACGGUAGCUAAUACCGCAUAACGUCGCAAGACCAAAGAGGGGGACCUUAGGGCCUCUUGCCAUCGGAUGUGCCCAGAUGGGAUUAGCUAGUAGGUGGGGUAACGGCUCACCUAGGCGACGAUCCCUAGCUGGUCUGAGAGGAUGACCAGCCACACUGGAACUGAGACACGGUCCAGACUCCUACGGGAGGCAGCAGUGGGGAAUAUUGCACAAUGGGCGCAAGCCUGAUGCAGCCAUGCCGCGUGUAUGAAGAAGGCCUUCGGGUUGUAAAGUACUUUCAGCGGGGAGGAAGGGAGUAAAGUUAAUACCUUUGCUCAUUGACGUUACCCGCAGAAGAAGCACCGGCUAACUCCGUG
rnacentral:rRNA from 1 species